UGGGGAAUUUUGGACAAUGGGCGCAAGCCUGAUCCAGCAAUGCCGCGUGCAGGAUGAAGGCCUUCGGGUUGUAAACUGCUUUUGUACGGAGCGAAAAGGUCUGCCCUAAUACGGUGGGCUCAUGACGGUACCGUAAGAAUAAGCACCGGCUAACUACGUGCCAGCAGCCGCGGUAAUACGUAGGGUGCGAGCGUUAAUCGGAAUUACUGGGCGUAAAGCGUGCGCAGGCGGUUAUAUAGGACAGGUGUGAAAUCCCCGGGCUCAACCUGGGACCUGCAUUUGUGACUGUAUAGCUAGAGUACGGUAGAGGGGGAUGGAAUUCCGCGUGUAGCAGUGAAAUGCGUAGAUAUGCGGAGGAACACCGAUGGCGAAGGCAAUCCCCUGGACCUGUACUGACGCUCAUGCACGAAAGCGUGGGGAGCAAACA
rnacentral:rRNA from 1 species